GGAAAGGAAGCUCAGAGUUGGUUCUGAGUUUUCUGCAAACAAAGAUGUGGGUUCUGACUCUUAUCAACCAACAUGGCCAAAGAGUGAGGUCUUGACUGGAAAUGGCUUUGUCCACACAUCUGAAAUUAAUGCAAAAAUACAAGAAGACACACAACAUGAAACCUUUACCUCAGUUAACCUGCAAGAACUAAGAGAACUUAUUGUGAAGGAUGGAAAAGGUGAAUUGGGGAUUUUCUGUGACCAAGGGGUUUAUACAAGAAAUAGAAACUUUCGAAUUUUCAAGUCAACAAAGAUAGGAAAAGAUUCUCAUCUGGUUCUCUCCAGACAGAACACCUAUA